AUGGCGGAACCAAACGAAGAACAACAACAGAACCUCCCUCAACCUUCCAAUCCCCCCUUACCAUUCGAUCCUAGUCGAAUGGUUGGUAUCAUCAAAAGAAAGGCUUUGAUCAAAGACUUAGCUGCUGCGUAUCAUGCUGAAUGCCUUCAAUAUUGUCAAGAGCUUCUAGAGCUUCAAACUAAAUGGGAUGAGCCAUUUAUUGACUUAAAACCUCUCGAGGAAUCAAAAAAGGAGCCAGCGCGACCCUCUAAACGCAUGAAAAAAUUGCGCUAG